AGGAGCCGGAUGAGCUGAGAGGUUCACGUCCGGUUCUCGGAGGGGCUGGGGGUGAAAGUCCCCCGGUCUACUCAAC
rnacentral:ncRNA from 1 species